AUGGGGGACCUCAGUCCUCCGAUCACAAAAAAAAGGCCCUGAGUUCUGCCAACAACCUGAAUGAAAAUUAGGAAGACGGUCUGAGCCCCAGCCUGUGAGGCCCUCUGCCGAGAAGCCAGAUUUCUCGGCAGCUGUGAGCUGACAGGCUCCAAGAGGCUGAUUCCUGGUUUGGGGACACUUUGUCUGUGAUGAAGGUGUCUUGCAGCCACUGAGCAGAAAUGCCCGGUGAUAACCUCAUACUCUAGAGAGACGGGGCUUGCCAUCGCGUGAUCCAAAUGCAGACACCGGAUCCCGCUUCUUCCGUCGUGCUCUCGCCCAGUGCAGGCUCCUCGACACCUUGGGGGUCUGUAGAUUACUAAAAUUUCAAGAGGAUGCCCUGUGAAUACAGCUGCUUAGAAAUGUUUAGUGUUCCUUAGACACCUGAAAAGCGAAAAGGAAGUUCCCGAUGGAGAGAAGCUUAACCCGAAGGAUCAUCUGUGCCUGUAAUAAAGGUGAUGUCCUAUGAGAACUGCACUCAGAGCAAGCUCCCAACCUCAUUCACAAACAUUUAUGGAGCACCUGCUAUGUGCCAAGCAUUGUUCCAGGAGCUCCGAAUACAGCAACAAACCUUCAAGACUCAGUUCAGUUGUCACGACCCCUGGAAAGCUUUCCCACACUCCUUCAUGCCUACCUGCAGGGGGUUGUCGCCGAUCCCUCGUGGGAGUUCUCAGGUGAGCAGGCUUCGUGAGUCAAGAAGCAUCCCUGCUGCCCAGCCCGACCCUGAGGGUUAUAGCUGCCUCUCUCCUUUUCCACGACUGCCCCUCCCCAGAAAGCACAGGCCGAUGCUGUUUCUGAAGAGCCAUCCAUUCCACGACUCAGGUCUCCACACUGCCUCGUGAGGCACCUUUAAAACACUUUCGUUGUAGCCAACUUGGUAAUAUGUUGUAGUUUUCCACCUAA